rnacentral:lncRNA from 10 species
CCUCUGGUUGCACAGUGGAAUCACCUGGGGAGCUUUAAAAAUGACAGAUGCCAGGGUCCUGACCCCAGAAAUUCUGAUGUAAUUGGUCAGGGUCGUGGCCUGGGUAUCAGGAUUUUUUAAGGCUCCCAGGUGAUUCUAAUGUGCAGCCAGGGUUGAGACCCACUGCUAGAGCCACCCACGUUUGCCAGGGAUUAUUUCUGCAUACAGCUGAGGAAGCAACAUUCAGUUCUUGUUCUCUGUUCUGAGCUGUCAGGAAAUGGCCUGCUAGGGUCAGGCUGGAAUCAAACCUCUGUCUUAAACUCCAGAGUCAACUCAGUCUGCUAAGUUAGUUUGGGAAGCCAUCAAUUACCUGCUGUUUUACCCUCCGGUGUGGGUCCCUGGGCAGCGGGGCAUCAACCUCAGCUGUGCUGGCAGGGCUGCUUUUCAAUGGAGCCUGCUGUCACUGCUGCUGCCGCCGCCGCUGCUGCUGCUGCUGCUAUUUUUCUAGAAGCCAAAGCAGAUCCUCACAUCAGAGCUUCAGCUCCCUGCUGCCUGUCAGUCACAGCUGCAUGACUGAGACUGAGGGACCAGAUGCCUGGCUGCCCGCCACUGGAGCUGGGUAGCAGAUUUGCUGAGGUGUCUUUGGGGCCAGGCCAGCCUUCCAGUUCACUGUGAAGGCUGGAGAUGAAUUUCUCUGGGCAGCCAAAUGCAGUUCGAAAUGAACGUGAUCAAUCAAGGGAAUGAAAGCCUUGGUCAAGUGGCCCCAGCAUGACAGAGAAGGCCAGCACCAGCCUCUGCCUUUCUCCUACGCUUGAGAAAUUGGGAGAAGGUACUUGUGUGUGCCAUUUUGCUGAGGUCAAACACUGCCCAGUGAUUAUGGGGGAAACGGUGGUGUAGAGAAAGACAAGGAAGAAAAUGGAAAACUCUUAUUUCAGGCAGGCCUACUAGGUGUCAGGCAUUGUAUGGGCACAUUAAAUGCAUAACCUCAUUGAAUCUGAGUGAUAGAACCACAAGAAUUAGACACGGUUAUCUCCAUUUUACAGAUAAAGAAGCUGAGCCGUAGAGAGGAAGCCUCCUUGUGAGGUCACAUCACUAGCAAAGGACAAAAGCAGAAUUCAUGCUUUCACCUGCUGGCCUGCAUAGCACUUGUUUUUUGCAUACCACCCUGCUUCUCAAAUUGGGAAGGGACAUUUUUGAUCCAGGUAGCUAGUUUUUUUGUGUGAGUUUCUUUGCCUCUCAUUAGGGUUGUUGCCAUCAGGGCCCAUCCUUGGCUCAAUAGUGCAAUACUGAAGGUUGCUUUUGUCAUGGUCCAACUUCUUCAUUGAAUUAAUUUAGGCAAUGUUAGCUGCUAUAACAGACAAACCCCCAAUUCUGAGGGGCCUAACACAAUAGACAUUUAUUUCUUGCUCACAUAAAGUCCAGCUGGCCGUGUGAGAAUGAAGGUUUUGCUCCAUGCAGUCAUGCAGAGAUCCAGGUCCCUUCUGUCUGAGGCUCUACCCUCCCCUAGAGCUUCAGUGUCAUCCACUAGGUCUUCUGCCUCAGAAAGGCAGGUGGGGGAAGGAAGCAUGGAGGAUCCUGUAGGAGGUUCCACAGCCCAGGUGAGGACACAGUACACCUUACUUCUGUCCACAUUCCAUUAGCCAGAACUCAGUCACAUGUCAAUGCCUAAGCCAAGGCAGGAUGGGGAAUACAUCUAGCUGUGUGCCACCCAAUAACCAGCACCCACGUCUUGGUUGGGGGGGCUGCCCUAGGCUGCCAGAAUCUGCUUGGUCCUUGGGUACAGACAGCUGGGAUAGCCCAUUGACAAAAUGGCUGAUGGGUACAGGGUGUAAACUCCCCCUUGUCCCCUGAUGGAGACACUAUCUCCAGAGCACUGCUGUGGGAUUAAGUCAAAGGUUUAUCUCCAUGGGGUCUUCCCUGAUGCACCCUUGCUUGGCCUCCUUCCCUUCUCAGUGCUACUUCUACAAUCCUCAACUGGCUUUUAAUACAGAUUUACCCACACCAGAGGGUAAAGCAGCAGGUAAUUGAUGGCUUCCGAAGCUAACUAAGCAGACUGAGUUGACUCUGGAGUGUUACACAGAGAUUUGAUUCCAGCCUGACCCUAGUGGGCCAUUUCCUGACAGCUCAGAGCAGAGAACAAGGACUGAAUGUUGCUUCCUCAGCAGUAUGCAGAAGAGAAGGAAAUAGAUUUCAGUGAACGUAGAGUAGUUCUGUUUACAACCACGUAUGCCCCUGAAGUCUCUUCAUUCUUGAGGCCUUACCUUCUUGAUCUUACCCACACCCUCUCCAGAAACCCAUCCUACACUUCAUUUCAGUGCUCCUCUAAUUGAUAAUUACCUUCUACCAAAUUUCUGCCCUUCGUGCAUAGGUCAGGGCAGGAACACCAAGGGUACCCAGUCAUGGCUCUGCUGAAGGUCUCUAUGGGGCCACCUCACACCCAAGUGGCACUUUGGCUAAAGACCAUGGGCCUCUCACAAGACCUCUGGCCCACCUUCUGCUGGCCCUUCAGAGGCAGGAGUCAAUAAUGGGGAGGCUGCCGGCCCUUGGCUUAUCUCUUCGUUUGACUAAUGAUGAUGAAUGUCAGUGUGUGACUCCGAAAUCCCUGACUGCUUUUCCUGCAGUGUCUCCUCCUCGGUGUGUUUUCUUUCUUCCUUAGCUCUGCUGGCUUCAGACCCCAGGGAAAUGAUGAGUUUCACAGUGAUGGACGGUAGGGAUUUUUCACAGCUGCUAAUUCUGAAAUCCCAAGUCAGCAGGAUCUGUGCUACCAAGACACAUGAUUUAGAGGCACUCCAUUAAGACUGAAAGUGUUCCCUUAGAAUUUCCAUAACCCUCUGUGAUCAAGGACGCUUAUACCUUUAAAUUUCCUUCAGAACAAAUAUGGCAAGGAAGGGCCCAGUUGAUGUCAAAUGAGCAUUCUUUUGCUAGCUCCCUUUCCCAGGUGAAAGUGCUCCCAAAUCCUUUCUCAUUGGAACGCGAGGAGGAGUGGUCAGGACUCAAACCUGUGUGCCUUUUCCAUGACACUUUUCAGAAACACGAGGGCCAGCCCAAGCAAAGUUUAUCUGUGAUGCUACUUUCAGUAGCUUCCAGGAGACCUAUUUGCAUUUUAGUGGGGACGACCUUGGUCUAGAAAACAUAGAGGGGCUCAUUACCUUGCCAAGAAUAGAGAGAAACAGGGCAGUUGCUGAGGGGAGGCAGGCCUUGUGGCUUAUGGCUGAACUGGGAGGCAAGCUGGCCCAGAUGCCUGUCAUCAGAUGGUGUAUGCAAAGGUCUGAGGCUCUUAAGCAAACUUCUCUUUUCUGCUCCCCUCCAAUCAAUCACUUGAACAAAAAAUCCCUAUCUCAGGCUCUGCUGCUGGGAAACAUAACCUGAGACCUACUUAGGGUUAGAUUAAUGCCAGCUGUUUCAGUUUUCGCUUGCUGCCUUAACCUGCUACACUAGGCCUGCGAAUUUGGGAAAUAAGUAGAGAGAAACCUAAAGUCAAGGGGUGUCCUACCUACAGCUUAUAUGACUGAAAAAAUAUCAGGAGUUGGGGGAGAAGUUGCCCUGGAUCUCGGCCAAGAGUGUGUCUGCUGUCAGUGUCUGGUCUCAACUCUACAGGCCUAAUCCUCCAGAAUGAAGGAGGAACAGACAUUUGGAACUCCAUUAAGGGGUUACCUGCCAAGUGGGGGUUGCGAGGGCACAGGUGUAGGAGGAUGGAAUGUGGGUAUGGGGAUUGUUCUUUGGAGAUGAAACUGUUAACUAAAAGUAGUAAACCCCCAAAGUAGAUGUAGCCACAGAGGAAGGCCAUGGUUUAUGUUUUUGGUAAAUAGAGGAGACAUCUAAGUGGAAUAAAUAAGCAAGGCCAAAAACCCAAGAACAUUUUUUUAAUGUAAUAUUCUGAAAUGCACUCAUGGCCUCACUUUGCACAGUAACACACUUACCUCCGGGGCUUUGUCUGACCAUGUAACCUUGUUCAUUUAUGUGGUAGGGAGCUUUUCUGCCCAGCUAAUCUUUCAUUCUUCCAGUCUCCUGGUUUGAACUGCUCCAUUCUGUCAAACCAAAACUGUAAAAAGAAGAAAAGCAUAGAAUAAAAAGCUGAGCUGAGAUGCUUUUCCUUUCUUUGCUGACUGUGAAUUAUUGUGGUUGAAUGAUAACUCCCUCUGGGAUAGAUGGUAAAUGAUGAAUGGGAGCUGCAGUGCUAGACUGACAUCUUCUGGAAGGGAGUUGGUUGCCAAGGCCAUUAGGAAGUCCCUGUGGGUCCCUAGACCCCUUGUCUUUAACUUUGCUACGCUAUGGGCAUAAAGACAUCUCACCACAGACAGGGGCUCUUGAAGUCUUUGGAUAGGCCAGGCGCGGUGGCUCACGCCUGUAAUCCCAGCACUUUCGGAGGCCAAGGCGGGUGGAUCAUGAUGUCAGGAGAUCAAGAUCAUCCUGGCCAACAUGGUGAAACCCUGUCUCUACUAAAAAUACAAAAAUUAGCCAGGUGUGGUGGCGUCGGAGGCAGGAGAAUUGCUUGAACCUGGGAGGUGGAGGUUGCAUUGAGCUGAGAUCAUGCCAGCCUGGCAACAGAGCGAGACUCGGUCUCAAAAAAAAAAAAAAAAGUAUUUGGAUAAUCCUGGUAGGUUAAUUUCCAUAAAGUUUAGUGCACAGUUGGCUCCCCUGUUCAGUCUUUUCUUGACUUGGUUUGCAUACACCAAAUCCAACCCUAAGAGAUGACUCCACUCACAUACUAAUGAAACAACAUCACAUUAUGGAGUGAAAAAACAGACCAGCUUUUUAAUCUUAGUUUCAUCACUUACUAGCUCUGUGAUCUUUGUCUGGCAGGACUGUAUUUUCCAAAGGUGGCUGCAGUAGUAGCUUCUAUCUUACAUGUUCUUCUAGAACUUUGCCUUCCUCCAUCAAAAGGUGGAAUCUAAUGCCCCUCCCUUUGGAGCUGGCUGGGUGGAUUUGUGACUAUUUCCACAAAUAGAAUGUGGUGGGAAGUGAUGUUGCAUGACUUCAGAGGUUAGCUUCUAAAAGGAUCAUACAACUUCUACUAGAUUCUUUUGAGACACUCACUCUUAGAACUCAGUCACCAUGCUAUGAGAAAGCCUAAGCAGCCUGUGGAGUGGCCUAAGUGGAGAGAAACCAAGGACACUGACCCACGAUCCUGACUCAGCUCCUAACUGACAGCUGACACCAGCUUACCAACCAUAUAAGUGAACCAUCUUGAAAGUAGAUCUUCCACAGCCCAGUUGAGCUGCCCCAAAUGAUACCACUGAAAACAGAGAUGAUCCAUCCCUGCUGAGUCCUUCCUGAAUUGGAUAUUUGAGGGCAUACAUAAAUUAUUAUUAUUUUUAACAAUAAACUUUAAUAAUGAGUUUUGGGGUGGUUUGUUGCACAGUAAUAAUAGGUAACUGCAACAUUUGGGACCCAAGAGUCCCACAUUUCAGAAUACAUUUUAUAGAUAUAACAUCAUCAGUAGAUCUAUAAGGAUGUCUUUGUGCUAUGGCUGUAAGGGGAAAAAAACCCUUGAAGCAACCAGAACACCAGGCCAUUAGAAAUGAUUGCACAAAUUGUAUAUCCUGUUUGUACCUUAGACUGUGCAGUUAUUGCAAAGAAUCAGUUAGCUCUAUAUUAAUUGCCUUAGAGAGAUGGCUAUGAUGUAUUGUUAAGGUAGAAAAACACGUUGCAGAGUAAUUUAUAACAUGAUCCAACUUUUGUAAAAAUGAACAGCAAUUAACUCCCUCUGUACAUGUGUAUAUAUGUUUGUAGGAGUAUGGAGAAUUUCAUAGAAAGACACAUACCCUGAUGAUAACAUUAGAUACAUCAGCAAUAUAUGGGAGUGGGGCAGGCAGGAAUCAUGGUCGCAGUGGUGAUACUGAGGAGGGUCUUAGGGUAAAAAUAUUAAAUUUAUACAUCUUUGGAUUGUUUCACUUGGUACAAUGACCAUGUCUUGUUUUUGAAAUAAAGAAAGUGCAGGAAAGGAAAAGAAACUUUCCUACUAAGUUUAAGAAAGAAAGGAAUAAAGGGCAUGGAACUUGGAAACUGACAGAUCUAGAUUUGAAUCCCAGAUCUGCUAUAUACUAAGCGAUCUUGAGCAAGCUACCUGACCUCCCUGGGCUUCUGUUUCCUCACCUGGAAAAAGGAAAAAUAACAAUGCCUACUUUGCAGUGUAAUUGUGAGGAUUAAAGGAGAACAUCAUUUUGUGUGAUUACCCUCAAAAUAAGCCUUAGUUCCGCAUAUCCAGUCUCGGUUGAUGUUCCACCUGAAAAACAUAGUCCAACAGACAAAAAAGAAAGAAAUUAGCACUUCAGGCUUUGGUUCUCUCUCUCUCUCUCUCACACACACACACACACGCACACACACAUGCACACACAGAAAUGCCAAAAGAAAAUUGUGGGGGCAAGUAAAAUGUUACAACACUUCGUCAAAAUCCUUUCGCCUACCACUUUUCCUGUCAGUAACCUCCACACAGAUGAUAGUGAUGAUGAUGAUGCUAAUGAUGAUGAUUCAUUAAUCCUUGACUGUGUGCCAGAAACUUUGUGUUUUACAUGUAUUAUCACAUCUCAAUGUCAAAAAUAGGUAAGCAGCAGAGUGCCAGGAUUGUUACCCAGGCAGUCUGGCUGCAAAACCAGCCUUCUUAACCAUGCUGUCUCUUGCUGGCACCCUCAAAUUCACUUUCUCUACCUCUCAAAUCCCCAAUAUUUCAAUCAGAAAUAUUUUGAAAUAUAUCUCUUUUCUCCCACUCAGUUCUUCCUUGCCUAAAAGUAUACUGUCUUCAUUCCAGGCUGGACAUAGUACCUGGACUUCUCUUCAUGAUCAUGGACCAUGUAGGGCUGCCCUAGACUAGAAGCCCUGGAGACUUCUGGCCCUGCUCCUCCCUCACCCCCCUAGGGGGAAGCAUAAGGAGUCUUUAACAUGGUCCUUCUCUCACUGUGACCUCUAAGGGAAAUUAUCGUGGACAAAUAGGUGAACAACAUUUUCUGUCUCAGGCUAUGGUAGGUUGCAAGGAUGGUCACAAAUUCUUCCCUUCCCUGUAUCCACACUCUUGCAAUGUUUGUGGAGCUGGUCUGGCCAUGUGACUUGAUUCAGUCAAUGGGACAAUAGCAAUCAUGACAUAAGGAGACUCAAAAAGUGCCUGCAUAAUGGGGCUUGCUACUACAGGACCCUUCCACUAUGUGACCAAGCCUGGGCUAGCCUGCUGGAGAAUGCAAGACCACAUGGAAGAGAACCAAGGAGCCUCAGCUGACUAGCAGCUGACUGGUGAUGCACAGCAGGCCCAGCAAUCUGCUGAGCCUGGCCUAGCUCAGGAACAGUGCACAGCUGAAUCCAAUUCAAAUUGCCAUCUAUAGACUCAUGUGCUCAAUAGUGGUUGAUCCAUAGUUAGCUUUAUGUAAAGCAUUCAGGACAUACAAAUAGGUACUCAAUAAACAUGAGUUUUCUUUUUCCCCUUUCCCUUGCUCCAUAAUCACUCUUUCUCUUAAACUGAUAAAGGUAAGGCCAUUCAAGUAAAACUACACAGUUAGCCAAUUCAAGUAGGGCCUGUGACUUUUUGUUCACAUGGGUAUUUUCUUGGCCAGCACAAGUCGUGCUUGAACUGACUGCCUCUUUCUGUCUGUAGCUGAGCAUAUUUUCCCAAAAAUGGCCAUAAUAUUUCCAGUUUCACAUGCUCUUCCAGAAUCUUGCUAUUCCCCUAUCAACAGGAGGAGUCUAUGUUGUUUCCCCCUGAAUAUCGGGUGGGACUUUGCAACAGCCUCAAGGAAUAGAAUACAGUGUUAUUUAUGAUUAGUAAUAAUAGACUUCAAAGGCUAGGUCAUAAAAGGCAAUACAUCUUCUACCUAGUGUGCUCUAUCUGUCUAUCUAUCUAUCUAUCUAUCUAUCUAUCUAUCUAUCUAUCUAUCUAUCAUCUAUCUAUCUAUCUUAGGACAGGCUCCAUUGGAGUCCUGAGCUGCCCAUGUAAGAAGUCUGGCUACCGUGUGGCUGACAUGUUGGAGAAGCCACAUGGAGAGACCUCAUAGAAGUAGAGAGAGAUGCCUGCGGAGCCCCAGUUUUUCAGCCCAGGCACUGGAAAUUUGACCGAAUAAGGUUGCAAGAUGAACAGCCACAGCACCACUCUAACUGCAACCACCUCUUCUGGAGCAACAGCUGGCCCCAGCCCCGAUGCCUGUGAUAACCCAAGGAAGAAGUCAUCAAAUAAACUGACAAACAGCACUCAUCAGCUUGAGAAUUGAAUACCUAAGUAUGAAUUCUAACCUGCUACUUGCCAAUUGUGUGACCGUAGCAUGUUAAUUGGUGUUAUGGAGCCUCAAUUUCUUCUUUUAUAACCAAAGUUUUCAUUAAGCCUAAUUCCAAAAGGAAGAAAGAACUUCUGGCAAAAGAAGCCACACAAAGCUGUUGUUGACUUAAUUCAUUUAUUUAUUUGUUGCUUCUCCCUCGUCUCUGCCCACCUUUCAUGCCCAACUCAUCAUUAAGCCCUAGAAUAAUGACUUGUAGACAGUGUGCAUUAUAUAUUCGGUGAAGAUAAUGAAAGGAUUUUAAAGCACGAUUGCUGAUUAGGGUAAUUCCUAAGUUACAGGAAUAACAGUCUAAUGGUAAAAUGUUGAGCACCUUGGCAGUUGGGGAUAAAAAUCAUUUUGGCCCUGUUCAAGUAGCUCAACAGAACCCCCUGCCCACUGUAACCUUAUUCACGUACAAAACCCAUCCUUUCCCAAAUAUAUGUUCCAAGUUUUAAAAAUUGAGCCUAAAAUUGUAAGGGUAUGUACACAUUGGGAAAUGAAAUUGUCAUUAACACAAAUGUGACUUCUGGUGGGUGUUCUAGAUCUAUCAGCUGAUAAUUGAUGAUGAGAAUUUUGUCUUCUAAAUAAGGAGUAUUCUUAUUCUGUCCUGGGAAGACACUUUAAAGUGUUUUACCUGGUAUGUUUGAGGUAAUAUUUAAAGAUUUUGCCCUCUGGCUUCAAAAUUCCUCUCUUGAUAACAAUAAUUAACUUGAAUUAAGGUUUAUGCGAAAUGCAAUAAAAAUAACUCAAUAUUUUAAUUAUUGGCAAACCAAUUUUCAUUUUCUUGAAGUAGAAAUAAUGAAAUAAUAGAUGCCAACACUCCACUACUUCCCAUGAUUUUAUUAUUUUAGAUGCGAGGAUAAUGUUUUAAAAUAUUAUCCAAAUGUGUUUUCCCUCUUUGGUGGG